rnacentral:rRNA from 1 species
GUACGGUCGCAAGACUAAAACUCAAAGGAAUUGACGGGGGCCCGCACAAGCAGCGGAGCGUGUUGCUUAAUUCGAUGCUACGCGAAGAACCUUACCUGGGCUUGACAUGUUUGGAAAAGCAACAGAGAUGUUGUGUCCGCAAGGGCCAAUCACAGGUGGUGCAUGGCUGUCGUCAGCUCGUGUCGCGAGAUGUUGGGUUAAGUCCCGCAACGAGCGCAACCCUUGUUCCAUGUUGCCAGCAGGUAAAGCUGGGGACUCAUGGAAGACCGCCGGGGUCAACUCGGAGGAAGGUGGGGAUGACGUCAAGUCCUCAUGCCCCUUAUGUCCAGGGCUGCAAACACGCUACAAUGGCCGGUACAAAGAGAUGCUAGAACGCGAGUUCAUGCCAAUCUCAUAAAGCCGGUCUCAGUUCAGAUUGAAGUCUGCAACUCGACUUCAUGAAGCUGGAGUUGCUAGUAAUCCCGGAUCAGCACGCCGGGGUGAAUACGUUCCCGGGCCUUGUACACACCGCCCAUCACACCACGAAAGUCGGCAACACCCGAAGCCGGUGGCCUAACCGUAAGGAAGGAACCGUCGAAGGUGGGGUCGGUGAUUGGGGUG